GUAGCACUUUCACAGGUCCCCCCCGGGCUGUGGGGUCGGGAUUUGGUAGCUGGUGCUGAGAGAAAGACCCCUUGGCUGCAUCCUUGCCCUGGCCCCCGCCGUGCCAGUGGCGGUGGCACUCAGUGGGACAGAG